AAUCAUUCGAAUUCUGAAGAGAAUGGUUCGGUGGACUCUCUUGAAGUUCGAUUUACUGAUUUCUGCAAGAAUGGAUUGUCGAUGGGUGAGAGUUUUAUGGUAGAAGCUAGAAAGCUGUUUAUGGACAGUAAACAUCUUUUACUGUCAAAUAAUGCUGCUAUUGGAGCUAUAACGCCGGAGGAAGUUGAACGGUAUUGGUUUGUGUUUGUUCUGUUCUCGGUGAAGAGAUUAAGUGAGAAUGAAGCUAGGAAUUCGAGUAAUGGGAAUGAAGGAAAUGGAUUUGAUCUAUGCCAAAUUCUGCGAGGGGCGAAACUCAAUGUUCUAGAUUUCUUCAAAGAAUUACCACAGUUUAUUGUUAAAGUUGGUCCAGUAUUAAGCAACCUAUAUGGUUCAGAUUGGGAGAAGAGACUUCAGGCAAAGGAAUUGCAGACCAACUUUGUGCAUUUGAGCCUUUUAAGCAAGUACUACAAGCGCGCAUAUCAGGAGCUGUUUUUGUCAAGUGAUAACAAUGAAGUAAAUCAGUCUGCUACUUCUAAUUCGAUUGUCCUCUUGCCACAGUAUUAUCGUUUUGGCUGGUUGCUUUUUCUUUCACUUCGCGAACAUGUAUUCAGCCGCUUCAAGGACCUUGUGACAUGCACAAAUGGUUUAGUUUCUG
rnacentral:misc_RNA from 1 species